ensembl:lncRNA
ACAGAUUCGUUCUUCCCCCUUACUCUGCUCUCCAGGAAUUGGCUUUUUACAAACAUUUCCAAGGCUACUUUCGUCAACUGCCGUCAAGCUAGGUGGGAUAAAUGGGAAGCUGUGAUAUGAGUUUGGGGCCAAAGAAAGGGAUAAGUCGAGCUGGCCACACAACCGUCUCACUGCUUCAGGAAGUAGCCUGAUCUCUCUGUGGUUCUAAUUCUAAUCAGGGUUCUAAACAGCCGCUCCCACUGUGAUGUCACCUUCUGCUGUGUGGCCCUUGUUCCUUGGCUCUUUUAAUAUCUUUGCCUUCUCCCGUUGCCCUCCAGGUCUAGGAAUGGAAGUGUUUUGCUGAUGUAGCUAAUGUUGGGGUCAAAGAAAGAAUAUAAUACACUUAUGAAAAAGAGACAGCCUCAUCAAUCCAGUUUUUCUUGGCUCAGUCAGCAGAAGAAACAGAAAUGCUGUCAUUGCUUACAUGUGAGAUAAAGGAUAAAAAGAGGGAAUGUGUUGGUUUACUGCAAAGGCCAUUCUUUUGGUUUGAGAACAUUGCUGGAAAUAACCUGAGCUGAGAAAAGCUCCCUAUGAGGAAUACAUGUUAUGGGAAACUGUUAAAGGCAAAGCUUGGUCACUGACCUUCUCCGUGUAGUUUAAUCAAGCUGCAAGCACCCCACCAAAAAAGACAGCUGCUUAAAGAAGAGAGCCCUCAACAAGCCAGGACAUUUUACCUUUCCUCUAUUACAUGAGUUGGGGAUAAGACACAAGUGCGCAAUAAAUUUCUAGUUCUCGCAUUCAGAGGCUGCACUAUAAUAAUGAUAGACUAUAAAUCACAGAAAAAAUGUUACCUUUAUUUUAGGACGGUCGAUAGCUAGAAACAGUGCUCACCAAUAGCACAGAUGUCUAGCAGAUAUAAAAACAAAUGCUUGGCAGUUGUUUAAAAAUGGGAAGUACGAGGAUCUGCCCCGAAAUAUAUUAGAAAACAGCAGCAGUUCAUCGUUUUGUCAAGUUUCCAGUUUUGCAAUUUACUAUUUUUUUAAAAAAAAAUCCCGUGUUCCGUUGUUGAAGAUAGAACUGCAACUUUGGGAAAGAGAAAAAAUUUUGGUCACGCAUUUCUGCAAAACUCUUGUAAACAUUUGUGGAUGGUAUCUACAUACACGAGCUUUUAUAUAAAUGUGUUUUAAAGUUUAAGGAAAAUUGAACGUGAGGAAUUGAAGUAAGAUGAGGCUGUAUACGAAUGGGAGGCUCCUGCAAGGACCCGAGGGGACUGGAACUAGGAUUUCAAUGUGCCAACUAUUAGCUAAUUGUGAAGAUGACACUGCCUGGCCAGACUCAGAGUCCACAUCCCAGCGGCUGCCUCAAAAGAGCUGUUAGAAGAAGAAAAUGCUCAUUUGUUGCAACUGAGACCAUGUGCUCUGAAAUCCAGUCAUGGGCAUUGGAAAUGGAGAUCCCUCUAAAAACUGUGGCAAUGCUGAGGGUCCAAGAGGCUCUUGAUACCACUCCUGGAGAGGUUGUUUUCUCUGGAAGCAGGAACUGAGAGUGAAUUUGGACUAUUCAGGGAGCCUGAUGUCCAAGACUGAGCCAGUGUAUUUUGGCAUUGUUUUAUUCUAACCUCCACCAGAUUAUCGUGAUCAAUAUGGAAGUAAAAUCUACAAGUUCAAAUGAGACUUAGAGUUAUUCUCUGAAGAUUUAGCAACAAAGACUGCCAAGUGUUUAAUCAAAAGGCAAUGUACAAGGGGCCAGGGAUACAGUGAUGAGCAAAAAGAUUUCUGUGCCUUCAUUGACCCUAUAUUUUAGCAAGAGAGACAGAUUGCAUUUUCUCACGAUAAAAAUGGAUAGUUGUGGCUUGGAAAAUGGGAAACUGGACCAACUAUGAACUAGAGCAAAGUUGAAGACAACUCUAAAUGUUUCGAGAGUAUUUUUGGUAAUUCCCUGAGCUUUCCUGACAAUUGGUCCUUCUACCCUCACUGCAUCCUGUGGGAUAAUGUUACAUACCCGAAGUCCGGGAGGCAGCACGGUGCAACUUCAGGGGUAGUAGCAGUUUUCCUUUUUUGUUUUUUUUUCAAUUAAACGGUUUUUCCGAG